AUCAUCUUGCAAAUAUACAUAAUUAAUUCACAAGCAACAACGUCAUCGUCAUAAUCCACUUAACCAGUAUGUAUACAAUGUACAUAUUCACCAACAACAUUAUCAUCAUCAAGUAACAACCACAAUCAACAACUAAGACUCAUGCAAAUGACAUGACAACACUGCUAAGACAACACCUUAGACUUCUCAAUGGAUGCAAAUAUGCAUGUGGUACCAACAGGACCGAAGCCCUCACCGCUUUUGAAUGGUUAAAGCAUUCAUCAGGACCGAAGCCCUCACCGCUGUUGAGCAACUAGUACUCCAGGACAUGAGUCCUCUCCGCUGUUUUAUGCAUAUGCAAUGUGUAAC
rnacentral:lncRNA from 1 species